rnacentral:rRNA from 1 species
UGGGGAAUUUUGCGCAAUGGACGAAAGUCUGACGCAGCAACGCCGCGUGGGUGAUGAAGGUCUUCGGAUCGUAAAACCCUGUCGUCAGGGACGAAGGUUGUGUUCUUAAUAGGGAUGCAGCUUGACGGUACCUGGAGAGGAAGCCCCGGCUAACUCUGUGCCAGCAGCCGCGGUAAUACAGAGGGGGCAAGCGUUAUUCGGAAUUAUUGGGCGUAAAGGGCGCGUAGGCGGUGUUUUAAGUGAGAUGUGUAAUCCCCGAGCUCAACUUGGGAACUGCAUCUCAUACUGGGACGCUAGAGUGCUGGAGAGGGUGGUAGAAUUCCACGUGUAGCGGUGAAAUGCGUAGAGAUGUGGAGGAAUACCAGUGGCGAAGGCGGCCACCUGGACAGUAACUGACGCUGAGGCGCGAAAGUGUGGGUAGCAAACAGG